GCAAAAGUUUAUCAAUGCAAUUCAAUAGCUAUUUGCAAAGCUUGAAAUAUGAACUCUUUUCAAAAUUGGCUUUUGACAUGUAAAAAGUAAAUUGUAGAAAUCUAUUGUCUAUUACUAAAGAGAAUUACUUCUAACACUUUGUCUAAAAGUUGCUAGUAGCAACAGCAGUCAAACAUGCUUUAAUUAAAUUCAUAGUGCUUAUUAAAUUAGUGUUUGAUGCUUCGUGGUAACUUCUUAGUUGACAUAGUUGUACUUGUAGGAUCAUGGCUUGAAGCAUUGCUGCACUUUGUUGAAGUUUGAGUUAAUUAUUUCCACUUGCACCUUCUGAGAGUAGUGUUUGAGUGUUUAUGAUCCAG
rnacentral:misc_RNA from 1 species